rnacentral:rRNA from 1 species
AUUGAACGCUGGCGGCAGGCUUAACACAUGCAAGUCGAGCGGAGAUGAGGUGCUUGCACCUUAUCUUAGCGGCGGACGGGUGAGUAAUGCUUAGGAAUCUGCCUAUUAGUGGGGGACAACAUUCCGAAAGGAAUGCUAAUACCGCAUACGUCCUACGGGAGAAAGCAGGGGAUCUUCGGACCUUGCGCUAAUAGAUGAGCCUAAGUCGGAUUAGCUAGUUGGUGGGGUAAAGGCCUACGAAGGCGACGAUCUGUAGCGGGUCUGAGAGGAUGAUCCGCCACACGGGGACUGGGACACGGCCCAGACUCCUACGGGAGGCAGCAGUGGGGAAUAUUGGACAAUGGGGGGAACCCUGAUCCAGCCAUGCCGCGUGUGUGAAGAAGGCCUUAUGGUUGUAAAGCACUUUAAGCGAGGAGGAGGCUACUGAGACUAAUACUCUUGGAUAGUGGACGUUACUCGCAGAAUAAGCACCGGCUAACUCUGUGCCAGCAGCCGCAGUAAAAC